UUUUUUUUAAGAUUCGGUGGUAUUUGUCGAUGCACUGGUCUUCCUUGACCUCUGCGGUUGAGCUCGAGUUCAGGCCCUCCCUAGCUUACGGCAGGAGCAGCUCGGCUUAGUGACGCAGGAUCAGUAGCUUAUGCCCAGGUGUCUCACCAAGUUUGGGCCAUAAAGGAACCCAUUUGCUGCUGGGAUUUACGCGCUUGGCAUCAAAGUCCCAGCUGUUGAAAAAAUUGAAUAUAGAUGAUCAUGAUGACCUGCUUGUUGACAACAUCUACAUGGCUAAUGGAGGUGAUGCCAUUCCUCGGCCUGAUCCGCACAACCAAAUGUCAAUAUUUAGUAUUGUUUUUACUGCAUAUCUAUUUUGUUUAAUUGAACCUGCUGUACAGUCAAUGCUUUAGCAAAUGAUUUACCACAACAUGUAAAUUUUGAGGUGCUUCUCAAUGUAAAUACGAGAUAUUGUAUUUGAUUUGAUACUGUGGGAAAUGGUCUUACAAUUUUGGUAUGUAUUCUGGGCAGUAAUGACUAUUCUAAUAAAAGGGUUGAAAAUCAGGUCUAA